UACGUAGGGGGCAAGCGUUAUCCGGAUUUACUGGGUGUAAAGGGAGCGCAGGCGGUUCUGCAAGUCUGGUGUGAAAGCCCGGGGCCCAACCCCGGGACUGCAUUGGAAACUGCGGGACUUGAGUGUCGGAGGGGCAAGUGGAAUUCCUAGUGUAGCGGUGAAAUGCGUAGAUAUUAGGAGGAACACCAGUGGCGAAGGCGGCUUGCUGGACGACAACUGACGCUGAGGCUCGAAAGCGUGGGGAGCAAACAGG
rnacentral:rRNA from 1 species